rnacentral:lncRNA from 1 species
UGCAGUGUUAAUCUGAUCUUGAUCCUUCAGCUCUGUGUGGCACAAUGACCAAGUUCUUGGCUGCUAUGCCCCACCCCUUUUCUAGAUUUCUUCUAAAUUUCAAAUUUUUUUUAUUCUCCUGAAAACCAACUCUUCCUCUGCCAUUAAAAAUAUAUUUCUUUUGCAUAAGCUAUCAUCUUUUUAUCCUCCUUGUUUCUUUUGUUAAAUAGAUACCUUUAUAAUUUUUUUUCUGAUUCUCUCUUCUCUCAUCAGUUCUAGGCUCAAUCCCCAUUGAACUUUAUCCUCUUCAUUGGACAUGUUGUGAUUUCAGUCUCCUUGGGAACUUUCAUGUCUGGUUUCUCUUCCUGGACCCCUUUCCUACUCUUCUUCCUUUUUCAUCCUUAACCUGACUGUGGAAGAUUAUUGCAAUAAUGUUCUGAUCACUCUUUCCUCGAUCUUUUCUCUCUCUCAUCUUAUCUUUUGGUGCUACUUAUGAAGUUCUUUUGGCUGGGUCAUGCUACCAUUCCAAUUUUGCUUUGUCUAGGUAUGGAAGAGUGAAGUUGAAGAAUGAGUCUCCGUGCUGUGCAUUUUUGAAUGAUCCCUGCGAACACUGUGACAAUUAUUAUCCCUGUGCAACGUGACGUAAUCACAACGUGUUUGCCUGCAGAGGGAACCAGUCUGCAAGGUAUCUAGUCAUAUACACCAUUGACAGUGGGCCACAUCCACUGUAAAGGACUAAAAGCAUAGGAAAAAAAUAAAAUAGAUUGCAUUUGAGUAAAAUUGAACCAAAUCCCAUCCUUAUGACUCCAGGAACUUCUCAUUACCUAGAUUUGUUGGACUGGUAAGGGCAAGCUGUGUAUAUAGUCCUAGUCCUUUAGGUAGCUCUGCAGGUACACAUGUGCCCCUUGAAUUUAA